AUGAAGCCAUCACACAGGAAACUGAAGCAGAAAAACGGGGAAAAGAGAACAAGAAAGGAGACGAGGGAUGAAAAGGCUGGAGAGCUGGGUUGGUUAAUUUGGAAAUGGAAUUUGCAGAGAUGUCUAAAUGUGGACAGUUCACAGGUGCAGAAGCCAAAGCCUUUGGUGAUAACUUCGCCAGAGGUCACACGUGGCUUAUGCCACAGCAGAUAUUGAAAGCCCAAGGUCCGCUCCUCCUCACUCCGCCCUAGUGCCCAGGACGAAGAGAAUCUGUUCCAAGACACUCAGUGGAUGCCUGAGACUGUGGAUAAUACCAAACUCCAAGCACAGGUACGUUUUUGUCUAUUCUUAUGUACAAGGUGUGAUUGAAAUACAUGGUGAAUGUUUUAAAUUUUUUAAAAUUUAUUGUAAUGAAAGACACUCAUUGUCACGAAUCCCCCUCAGAAUGUUCCCCUUUGGUUUGUACGCACUCAUCCCCCGCUCUUGCCACUUUCUGAAGCAGUUCCGGAAGUCCUCUUUCAUGGCCACAAAUAUCGUGAGCGCCGCUGCCUAGCGCCAUCCGGCGGGAAUACACAAGCUUGUGGGAACACAGUGGUGGUCAUGAUCUCCACAGUCACUGGAUCUGGCGCAGUGCAACUUCUGGACCUUCAAAGUCAACAUGAGUAAGAAAGGCAAACAUUGUGAAUCAAUUCGGAACAUAGAGGCUGUCACAGCAGUGCGAAAAGACAGCUCUCCAAAGCCCACAGCUCUCAGUAGCCACAGCCUGCACGGUCCCCUCCCUUGAAUUUGAGUGGGUCUUGUGACUGUCUUCUGACAAAUGAAAUGUGGCAGGGUGACACCCGGCUGGUUCUGGGGCCAUACUUUAAGAGGAGCCGGCGUCUUCCGCUUUUGGAUUGUUGGGAUCCAGGCACCGUGGAAAGACCACAGGAGGAGGGGGAGAGGUUCUUGCUUCAUGCACAAAGUACCAGACACAUGAGCGAAGCCAACGUGGUCGGCACAACACUCCAGACGAAACCAGAGCGGUCUGCAUAAAACUGUGACAGGUAAAGAGAAACACCGACACAUUCCAUGAGGAUGCCUUAACUGAAAAGUUAAGUAUGCAUUGAUAUUAACAGGGACACCACUCCAGUCUAAGGAAGAAGUACAUGUAAAGGUCCUGAGGCAGGAGGAAUAGUUAGAGGCCACCAUGGGGA
rnacentral:lncRNA from 1 species